rnacentral:rRNA from 1 species
UACAGAGGUCCCGAGCGUUGUUCGGAUUCAUUGGGCGUAAAGCGCGUGUAGGCGGUUUGACAAGUCUGAUGUGAAAUCUAUGGGCUCAACCCAUAGCCUGCAUUAGAAACUGUCGGGCUUGAGUAUGGGAGAGGUGAGUGGAAUUUCCGGUGUAGCGGUGAAAUGCGUAGAUAUCGGAAGGAACACCUGUGGCGAAAGCGGCUCACUGGACCAUAACUGACGCUGAGGCGCGAAAGCUAGGGGAGCAAACAGG